rnacentral:rRNA from 1 species
AAGUCUGAUGGCAGCACGCCCCGUGGACGAUGAAGGCUUUCGGGUCGUAAAGUUCUGUUGUAAGGGAAGAACAAGUGCCGCAUGCAAUGGCGGCACCUUGACGGUACCUUGCGAGAAAGCCCCGGCUAACUACGUGCCAGCAGCCGCGGUAAUACGUAGGUGGCAAGCGUUGUCCGGAAUUACUGGGCGUAAAGCGCGCGCAGGCGGCCUCUUAAGUCUGAUGUGAAAGCCCCCGGCUCAACCGGGGAGGGCCAUUGGAAACUGGGAGGCUUGAGUAUAGGAGAGAAGAGUGGAAUUCCACGUGUAGCGGUGAAAUGCGUAGAGAUGUGGAGGAACACCAGUGGCGAAGGCGACUCUCUGGCCUAUAACUGACGCUGAGGCGCGAAAGCGUGGGGAGCAAACAGGAUUAGAUACCGUUGUAGUCCA